UACGUAGGGCGCAAGCGUUGUCCGGAAUUAUUGGGCGUAAAGAGCUCGUAGGCGGUCUGUCGCGUCUGCCGUGAAAACCCGAGGCUUAACCUCGGGCCUGCGGUGGAUACGGGCAGACUAGAGGUAGGUAGGGGAGAAUGGAAUUCCCGGUGUAGCGGUGAAAUGCGCAGAUAUCGGGAGGAGCACCGGUGGCGAAGGCGGUUCUCUGGGCCUUACCUGACGCUGAGGAGCGAAAGCGUGGGGAGCGAACAGG
rnacentral:rRNA from 1 species